rnacentral:rRNA from 1 species
AGCGAACGCUGGCGGCAGGCUUAACACAUGCAAGUCGAGCGGGCACUUUCGGGUGUCAGCGGCGGACGGGUGAGUAACGCGUGGGAACGUGCCCUCUGGUUCGGAAUAACUCAGGGAAACUUGAGCUAAUACCGGAUACGCCCUUUUGGGUAAAGGCUUGCUGCCGGAGGAUCGGCCCGCGUCUGGUUAUCUAGUUGGUGAGGUAACGGCUCACCAAGGCGACGAUCAGUAGCUUGUCUGAGAGGAUGAUCAGCCACACCGGAACUGAGACACGGCCCAGACUACUACGGGAGGAAGCAGUGGGGAAUAUUGGACAAUGGGCGCAAGCCUGAUCCAGCCAUGCCGCGUGAGUGAUGAAGGCCUUAGGGUUGUAAAGCUCUUUUAUCCGGGACGAUAAUGACGGUACCGGAGGAAUAAGCCCCGGCUAACUUCGUG